GGCUAAUCCAGCCGUCAACACGUUCACAGCUGUAAAGGUGAUGGAGUAAGGAUACUUGAUGCAGUCCAACAAAUCUUUCAGUACGAGUGGCUGAAAAGCAAAUGGUCCAGUAUUCGUUUCUGCGGGCAGAUGAGCAGCUCCAAGCCUGUAUGGGAGAAUGAAUCUCCGUGAAAUCGCCUGGAAAUAGCCAUCAACCUGUUGAGAGGAUGCUGCCUAUCCUUGCAAGUCUUGCUUAUUGCAAAAACAUAACCACCAGACUCCACUCAACUGCCUUCUCAGACCUGCCAAAUUUCAAACUACAAGUCAGAUAUUUCCAGCUAGACCACCAAAUUACUAAACUGCAUCACACAAGGAAAAUAUUCAGUGUUACGUAAAGAAGAAGCAAAACCCUUCUGACAUUCUCAGUUUGCAUCCAUAGAAGAGGAACACUUCCCAUAGCAAAGUGAUGGAUGAGCAGAACACCUGACACA